rnacentral:misc_RNA from 1 species
AUCACAUUCUUUCUUUCCUCGAAAUGCAAGAACUUGCAAACUUUUCCCUUACCUCGAAAAAGCUAAGAGAAUUCUGCAUAUCCAUUCCUUUCUUGACUUUUGAUGGCUUCUUAUGGGAAGACAGAGGUCUAAAGGGUGAGUUGAUAAAUUAUAUGGACAGAUUGUUUGCUGUUCGAAAAGGAAUGGAGACCCAACGCAUAACUAUUCGCUGGCCUUUUGCCGCUGCCAAUGCUGAUGAAAAAUUCCGUGUUGUUACGUGGCUGUAUAAUGCAAUAGCAUGUAAGGUUCAGUUGCUUCAUCUCGAAA